GGAAGGUGAAGUACGCCAAUGGGGCGGCCUCUGUUUCGAAAACAGAUGGAGCCGGCAACGGCUUGGGGUUCGAGUCCUCUGCCUUCCU
rnacentral:tRNA from 1 species